rnacentral:rRNA from 1 species
GACGAACGCUGGCGGCGUGCUUAACACAUGCAAGUCGAACGGAAAGGCCCUGCUUUUGUGGGGUGCUCGAGUGGCGAACGGGGGAGUAACACGUGAGUAACCUGCCCUUUACUUUGGGAGAACUUCAGGAAACUGGGGCGAAUACCGGAUAGGAGCUCCUGCUGCAUGGGGUGGGUUGGAAAGUUUCGGCGGUUGGGGAUGGACUCGCGGCUUAUCAGCUUGUUGGUGGGGUGGUGGGUUACCAAGGCUUUGACGGGUAGCCGGACUGAGAGGGUGACCGGCCCCAUUGGGCCUGGGGUACGGGCCAGACUCCUACGGGAGGCAGCAGUGGGGAAUAUUGCAAAAUGGGCGGCAGCCUGAUGCAGCAACGCCGCGUGCGGGAUGACGGCCUUCGGGUUGUAAACCGCUUUCGCCUGUGACGAAGCGUGAGUGACGGUAAUGGGUAAAGAAGCACCGGCUAACUACGUG